rnacentral:rRNA from 1 species
AUUGAACGCUGGCGGCAUGCCUAACACAUGCAAGUCGAGCGGAUGAAGGCAGCUUUCUCCUGGAUUCAGCGGCGCACGGGUGAGUAAUGCAUAUGAAUCUGCCUGGCAGUGGUGUAUAACGUCCGGAAACGAGCGGUACUACCGCCUACGUCCUGAGGCAGAAAGUGGGGGAUCUUCGGACCUCACGCUAUCAGAUGAACCUAGGUCGGACUAGAUAGUUGGUGGGUUAAAGGCUUACUAAGGCGACGAUCCGUAACUGGUCUGAGAGGAUGAUCAGUCACCCUGGAGGGGAGACAGGGUCCAGAGUCCUGCGAGAGGGAGCAGUGGGGAAUAUGGGACAGUGGGCGAAAGCAUGAUCCAGCCAUGCGACGCGUGUGAAGAAGAUCUUCGGAUUGUAAAGAACGUUAAGGUGGGAUGAAGGGCAGUCAGUUAAUACCUUGCUGUUUUGACGUUACCGGCAGAAUAAGCACCGGCUAACUUCGCG